AUGCUCUGGGCUCCCCUCAUCGUCCUACUGGGAACGUGGUGCACUGGUUCCAGCUCACAGCCUGUGCUGACUCAGCCACCCUCGGUGUCAGUGUCCCCAGGAAACACUGUGAAACUCUCCUGCACCAUGAGCAGUGGGACCAGCAUCAGUGGCUAUGCUGUGUCCUGGUACCAGAAGAAACCUGGAAAUUCUCCACGAUACCUGCUGAGAUACAAGUCAGACUCCGACAAGCACCAGGGAUCUGGGGUCCUUGCUCGUUUCUCUGGUUCCGAAGACACAUCCAGUAAUGCCGGCUAUUUAACCGUCUUCAGGGUCCUGGCAGAGGAUGAUGCUGAUUAUUAUUGUGUUGUGUGGAGGGGUGGCAAUGCUCCACACGAUGACACAGACAGAUGGGGAAGGUCUCUCGCCCAGUACGUGCUGACCCAGCCGCCCUCAGUGUCUGUGUCUCUAGGGCAAAAGGCUCAACUGACCUGCUCAGGAAACAACAUUGGGGGCAAGUAUGUGCACUGGUACCAACAGAAACCUGGCAGUGCCCCACUACUUGUUAUAUAUAGUGAUAGCAGCAGACCCUCCGGAAUCCCUGAUCGAUUCUCUGGAGCCAACUCCGGUAACACGGCCACAUUAACCAUCACUGGAGUCCAGGCACAGGACGAGGCUGAUUAUUACUGUCAGUGCCGAGAGCUCUAA